rnacentral:rRNA from 1 species
CUUCGGGUUGUGAGGUUAAGCGACUAAGCGUACACGGUGGAUGCCUAGGCAGUCAGAGGCGAUGAAGGGCGUGCUAAUCUACGAAAAGCGUCGGUAAGGUGAUAUGAACCGUUAUACCCGACGAUACCCGAAUGGGGAAACCCGG